UUCUCAACACAGUGGGAUUUCUGUUUUUCUUUUUAUGGUUAAUGCUGCUCAAAUUAGCUUAUCUUUGCCUCACAAACACUUUAAUAUAUAUUCCUUCAGCCCCAUCCGUACUGAAAGCAUAAUCAUUUUCAAAGUUGAGCGCCAUACCGCACCAACCUUAUGAGAAAAAAUGAGAUUGUAGGAAAAGGCCUGGGCACAGGAGGCAUUGGCAAUCAAUGUUUCUGGGGUUGCUUUGAACAUCUGCUGAACACAAAAGGAUAAAUAGGUUAAUUGAAAUUUUAACUGAGGCCAUUGCUAAGAAACAACUUAAGCUGAGUGCAAUCCUAAAGGAAACAGAGAAAGGGGUUUCUUUGAUGAAGAUGAGCUUUUAACAGGAGCAGCUUUCAAAGACAAGUUGCGCUAUAUCUGUGCUGUGCUUUUACAUUGAGUUUAUUUGAAAAAAAUAAAAAGUCUGUUAGGUAACUCGAACUUAACAGAUGUCAACCAGGGUAUUUCAGAGCUUGCUCAAUAAAGUGUCAGUCACACACUAUGUUCAGGCUGAAAAUCCUGUUUCGCAUGGCCACUUUUAUGGAUUUUUCUCAGUAGACGUGCAAGAGACAAACAGGAAUACAGUGCUGUGAGUCGUUAGAUGUCCUUCGCCAUGCUGUGCUCCAUUUGGCCUGUCUGUGCACAGCAGGCCUUUUCAGGCAUUUACGUACCUACCAUCGCUUCCUAUGGUUUGGACUCUGUGAGAGUCAUUAUGAAACACCAGAGCACAUUUUUCUCCAUGAGCUUAUGAUACAUAUGAGAAAGCAGUUGGACAGCAACUUUGACAUUCUUGCAACAACCCCAACUUUUACAGGGAGAGAAUAAGAGUAAAUAACCAGGCUUUGUAAAAUGAUAUAAAAGUCCAUCUGUCCAUCAUUAUGUCAGUGAAAAUUACAGUGUGUUGCAAAGUAUUCACACCACUUGAAUUUUUUCACAUGCAGUAAUGUUUGUGUUGAGAACCGGGGUUUUGGUCCUCUUUUGUGGGGGUUUUCUGUUGCCUGCUGCUUCCCCCUCCUUCCACUAGAUGGUGCCAAGAGGCUGCUCCACCUGGAGGGCGUGACUGGGUCCUACACACCUGUGAUUCAUCACCUAAUCAUCCAGGAGUAUAUUAGAAGCAGGCUGCCAGCACUUCGAUGCCUGAGUGUCUGCCAGUAAUGGUGCUUCCUUGUGACGCUCUGGAAAUACCGCUGUAAAACCCGAGUUCCUGGCUUCCUGGAUUUACUCCCAUCGUGACGCCUUGGAUCGUUACCCACUGGUUGCCCGAGUUCCAUCUUCAUCUCUGCAGAUAAACCUUAAAUCAUUCCUGAAUUCCCAGCUGGCAGUCGGUUUGCUCCCCGUUCCUCCUCACCUGAACUUACCUGUCCGCCCUCCACCGCAGUCUCCACCAUCUACCAAAGAACUCACUCCGUCAAAACUCCACUCUGGAACCCGGACCACUUCGAGACCACUUCGAGGACCUCCACAAGGAGACCAAACCCUGGAAACCACUGUAUUACCCUCCCACCCCAACUCCCUGGCAGAAGAUGAUCUACAUUUCAAGUAAGACCUGUCUAAUUCUUCCACCAUCUCUAUCUCAUUGCUCUUCAGAGUACAGACUACCCCGGUUGCCAUCCUCAAGAACAAGAUCUACACAUUCUCAUUUUUCAUCAUUGUUCAAAUAAACUUUAUUCACCUGA